rnacentral:piRNA from 1 species
UAGGUGGGAAACCAUAAUAGCCAACACUCA